rnacentral:lncRNA from 1 species
GAUCAAGGACAAGAUACAAGAGCACCACCAGAAGAAGUCAGAAGAAGAAUAUGUAAUCCCUUCUCCGUCAGCCGAGUAUGCCACCACGGGUUAUGAGGAGAAGGAGGGCUUGGUAGACAAGAUCAAGGACAAACUACACGAACACCACCAUAAGAAGUCAGAAGAAGAAUAUGUGAUCCCUCCUCCGGCAGCCGAGUAUACCGCCACCGGUUAUGAGGAGAAGGAGGGCUUGCUAGACAAAGUAAAGGACAAGUUACACGAACACCACCACAAGAAGUCAGAAGAAUAUGUGAUCUCUCCUCCAGCAACCGAGUAUGCCUCCAGGGAUUAUGAGGAGAAGGAGGGCUUGGUAGAUAAGAUCAAGGACAAGCUACAUGAACACCACCGUAAUAAGUCGGAAGAAGAAUAUGUUAUUCCUCCUCCAGAAACUGAGUAUACUGCCACGGGUUAUGAGGAGAAGGAGGGAUUGGUAGACAAGAUCAAGGACAAGCUACAUGAACACCACCGCAAGAAGUCAGAAGAAGAAUAUGUGAUCUCUCCUCCAGCAGCCGAGUAUGCCGCCACGGAUUAUAAGGAGAAGGAGGGCUUGGUAGACAAGAUCAAGGAAAAGAUACACGAACACCACAAGAAGAAGUCAGAAGAAGAAUAUGUGAUCGCUCUUUCGGUUACAGAGUAUGACGCCACGGAUUAUGAGGAGAAGGAGAGCUUGGUAGACAAGAUCAAGGACAAGAUACACGAACACCACCAAAAGAAGUCAGAAGAAGAAUAUGUGAUCCCAACCGAGUAUGUCGCCACGGGUUAUGACGAGAAUGAGGGUUUGGUAGACAAGAUCAAGGACAAACUGCAUGAACACCACCACAAAAAGUCAGAAGAAGAAUAUGUGAUCCCUCCUCCAGCAGCCGAGUAUGCCGCCACAGGUUAUGUGGAGAAGGAGGGCUUCGCAGACAAGAUCAAGGACAAGUUAUACGAACACCACCACAAGAAGUCGGAAGAAGAAUAUGUGAUCCCUCCCCCAGCAGCCGAGUAUUCAGCCACAUGUUAU